GACAGCGGCCCCAAGCGUUAGGCGGAAUCACUGGGCUUAAAGCGUGUGUAGGCGGAUCGUUAAGUGUCUUGUGAAAUCCCACGGCUCACCCGUGGAACUGCUGGGCAUACUGGCGAUCUUGGGCCAACUAGGGGCAGCCGGAACAAGCGGUGGAGCGGUGAAAUGCGUAGAUAUCGCUUGGAACGCCGAAGGUGAAAACAGGCUGCUGGGGUUGUGCCGACGCUGAGACACGAAAGCCAGGGGAGCAAACGGG
rnacentral:rRNA from 1 species